GUGUCAGCCGCCGCGGUAAUACGGAAGGUCCGGGCGUUAUCCGGAUUUAUUGGGUUUAAAGGGAGCGUAGGCGGACUUUCAAGUCAGUGGUAAAAUCGUGUGGCUCAACCAUACCUCGCCAUUGAAACUGGAAGUCUUGAGUGCACGCAGGGGUGCCGGAAUUCAUGGUGUAGCGGUGAAAUGCUUAGAUAUCAUGAAGAACUCCGAUCGCGAAGGCAAGUGCCCGGAGUGCAACUGACGCUGAGGCUCGAAGGUGCGGGUAUCGAACAGGAUUAGAUACCCUGGUAGUCCGCACGGUAAACGAUGGACACUCGCGGUGCGAUCAGUAUGAUUGCGUCGCUUAGCGAAAGCGUUAAGUGUCCCACCUGGGGAGUACGCCGGCAACGGUGAA
rnacentral:rRNA from 1 species